AAAAAUCCUGUGUUAACUUUGGUCAGUAAUCAACUGAAUAGUAAACAAAGAUGGGAGGUAAACCAUGGUGUGCCCUCUAACAUUACUUUUAGUGCCUCUGACGCAGAUAAUGAUGCUGUCACCUUUCUCCUUGUUGAUGUUGUAAACUCAAAUGUCACCAUUGAUUCUAAAACUGGAGUGCUAACCUAUAUACCAGACAUAAACAAACCAUUAUCUAUUGGUGUACAAGCUAAAGAUGCUAAAGGGGAUCCCUCCACAAUUUUAUAUCUAGACAUAGUUGUCUGCCCUGAUUGUAGUGGCCAUGGAGUUUGUGACAGAAGCAGGACACAGGAAGAAGAAAAAGAAAAUGGACGAUUUCUGCUGAAUGUUUGUACAUGUUGGCCAGCAUACACGGGUAACAACUGUGAAAAUGAAUAUGACGCAUGUAAAGAUAAACCAUGUCUUCUUGGACAAGAAUGUUUUGAUAAAACAGCAGCUGAACAGGGCAACAGUACAAUAGGGUAUAUAUGUGGCCAAUGUCCUGAUGGAAAG